GAUGAACGCUGGCGGCGUGCCUAAUACAUGCAAGUCGAGCGAACGGACGAGAAGCUUGCUUCUCUGAUGUUAGCGGCGGACGGGUGAGUAACACGUGGAUAACCUACCUAUAAGACUGGGAUAACUUCGGGAAACCGGAGCUAAUACCGGAUAAUAUUUUGAACCGCAUUGUUCAAAAGUGAAAGACGGUCUUGCUGUCACUUAUAGAUGGAUCCGCGCUGCAUUAGCUAGUUGGUAAGGUAACGGCUUACCAAGGCAACGAUGCAUAGCCGACCUGAGAGGGUGAUCGGCCACACUGGAACUGAGACACGGUCCAGACUCCUACGGGAGGCAGCAGUAGGGAAUCUUCCGCAAUGGGCGAAAGCCUGACGGAGCAACGCCGCGUGAGUGAUGAAGGUCUUCGGAUCGUAAAACUCUGUUAUUAGGGAAGAACAUAUGUGUAAGUAACUGUGCACAUCUUGACGGUGCCUAAUCAGAAAGCCACGGCUAACUACGUG
rnacentral:rRNA from 1 species